AUACGGAGGGUGCAAGCGUUACUCGGAAUCACUGGGCGUAAAGCGCGCGCAGGCGGCUAUUUAAGUUGGAUGUGAAAGCCUACGGCUCAACCGUAGAACUGCAUCCAAAACUAUUAGACUAGAGUGUGGGAGAGGAAGAUGGAAUUAGUUGUGUGGGGGUAAAAUCCGUAGAGAUAACUAGGAAUACCAAAAGCGAAGGCAAUCUUCUGGAACACUACUGACGCUGAGGCGCGAAAGCGUGGGGAGCAAACAGGAUUAGAAACCCCAGUAGUCC
rnacentral:rRNA from 1 species